GAGGAGAGGAAACAGAGACAGAGACAGAGAGACGGGGGAGACAGACCUAGAGACAGAGGGACAUGGAGAGUGAGGACAUAGGCGGGAAGAAGGAACGGGGGCUGGAAGGGAGACUGAGGACAGGGACUCUGCUCCUGUUUUCCCUCUUUUGCAACAUACCAGGGAAAGCUCUUCAGGAAUUUACAACUGUAGCAACAAGCGAUUGGGGCUAUUGCUAUUAUUUUUAUUAUUUUUACAGCUGCUUUAAAAAGAACUCACCACUUCUUCUGGGAAGUUUGAGACCUUAUUUACUACUUAUGUGCCAAGCACCGUGCUGGACGUGGGACCAAGUGAAGAAUUUUAGAUUUACAGAAAGAUUGCUGCUACAGUACAGAGUCUCUUCAUAUUUUCCACGGCCAGUUUCCUUCAUUAUGAGCACCUUACAUUGACACCGUUGUCACAAUGAAUGAACCGCGCUGAUACCUUACACAACUGAAGUCUGAUCCGGUAUUUUGUUCCAUGUACUUUUUACAUAAAUAUCUUUUUUAUUUCCAAAUAGCAGGCACAUGCUAGGUGAGAAGAGAGCAAUGCAUAAUAUGCAAGUAAUUCCUACUCUUUUGGAGUUUAACCAUCAAUAACGAAGUGCAAUAAGCUUCGUUGCAGGGAAAGUACAGGGGGUCGUGGAGGCAAAUGCUCAUCUUCCGGCCUGCACCACAGAGGGAUCCCAAGACAGUGCUGAUGCACCGGCUGAAAGCACAGAUUCACCCUCAGCUCCACCAGGGCUUGGAUGUUUGCCGUCUCCCGCCUCCAAAGCCAACCUAGGGCACAUUUUCUUGCCUGAAUAACUGGAAACCUAGGGACAUGAGUCAAAGGAAUAUCUGUGCUCAACGGGCAUCUCACCCAAUAUUGUUCUGUAUUUCAUUAUUUGUGUGGCAUGUCUCUUGUCUACUUGAAGCUGCUUCUUACUUGGAUGGUGGAUAAUCAGAAAUGGAUUCCCCAAGCCUGCUUGAACUGCCCCACCCAGCCAGCACUCAGGCACUUCCCAGCCCUGUGUCCCCUGAGCAGUGGAAGCAGGUCUCUAGAAGAGCCCUGAUUCCAAUUGGCAGCUCUGUUACAGCGCUGUGUUCUCUCCUGCUCCAUGGACAGCUCCUCUAGAGUACCGGCUGUGUUUAUGCAUCUUUGUAUUCCCCGUGCCUGGAAUGUGGCAGGUGCUCAAAGGAUGUUUGCUUAAAUAAUUGAACAACUGGAUAAAGAAAGUACAGGAAGAAAGGUGAGAAAAACUGGUCUGUGUUUACAGCAAACAAGUCCAUGGCUUUUUGAAGAGCCCAGAAAGAUGAUGUAAAGACUGUUCUCAGAAGAGAGGCCCUGGGAUUGAGAAGUACUAAGAUUACUAACCACUGACCCAAUUAAACGAAGUAGUAUAACCCUCUAAGAGCUGCCCCUUAGGAACACAGAGCCAGAACAAAGGACAAGCUGGACCACAUUCUGGGGGGAAUUCUGAUAUUCUUCUGAGUAGAAUUUCUCGAAGUAUGGCUUUGCAGUGACCCGUUCAGCGUUCAUGUAAGAAACGAUGUCUUCAAGUCUCUGGCUGGAUGGUGGCGUGCAGGGCUGGUUGGCUUCCUGGGGAAGUCCUCGCUGAGCCAACUGGAGCCGGCACUGUGUCAAACAGUUUCUGGGCAUCCACUGUUCAUGGAGGAAGGACUCUCGUGAUGGUGGAGAUGCACUGAUUGAAAAUAAAAUAAAAUAAAAUUUUGGACUUC